CAACAGCAGACUUUCCACUCACUGCAUUCAAAGUAACAUGCUAGAAUAAAUCAAGUUGUUCCAACUAAAGUUCCAGGCAUAAAAUUUCUACUAUUGUUGAAACAUAAGGAACAUGAAUCUAGUCCUUUAACAUCCUUGAUUCACUGAAGAAAGGAUCUUCAUUAGUUUCAAGUGUCUGUGUCCCAAUCUGACUCCACUCCCAUUGCCUCAUAUAUGAUUUCUGCUGUUGUUGAACAGCGAGGAAAGCGAAUCAGGUUCUUCAACCCCCUGGAUUCAUGGUAGAAAUGAUCUGCUCCAUCAGCUUCAACAAUAAUCGUCUGAAGAAAUGGUGAUUUGGCAAGUAUAAAUUUCGUGAACUGCAUGUUGGACCUCUGACCACGAAUAUAUGUCAGCUUCACAGAUUUGAGCUUUAAGAAACAAAAUGAGCAGUUUUCUUCUAACUAAAAGUUGACUAUACUUUCCAUGUCACUGAUGCCUGCAGACAAGUAGUUACUACCCGUUAU
rnacentral:misc_RNA from 1 species